UACGUAGGGGGCUAGCGUUGUCCGGAAUCAUUGGGCGUAAAGAGCGUGUAGGCGGCUCGGUAAGUCCGCUCUGAAAGCCCGGGGCUCAACCCCGGGAGGCGGGCGGAUACUGUCGAGCUAGAGUCCGGAAGAGGCGAGUGGAAUUCCCGGUGUAGCGGUGAAAUGCGCAGAUAUCGGGAGGAACACCUAUGGCGAAGGCAGCUCGCUGGGACGUUACUGACGCUGAGACGCGAAAGCGUGGGAGGCAAACAGG
rnacentral:rRNA from 1 species